rnacentral:misc_RNA from 1 species
UUUCCGUAGGUGAACCUGCGGAAGGAUCAUUACAGAGUUCAUGCCCUCACGGGUAGAUCUCCCACCCUUGAAUAUUUAUACCUUAGUUGCUUUGGCAGGCCGUGGAAACACCAUGGGCUCCGGCUUAUGCGUGCCUGCCAGAGGAAACAAACUCUGUUUUGAGUGAUGUCUGAGUACUAUAUAAUAGUUAAAACUUUCAACAACGGAUCUCUUGGUUCUG